GGCACUUCAAAUUACGUACGACCGGACUGCGCCCGGAACCGUCUUUCGUCGAGCAGUUGUUUCAUCGCUGCUUACGGAUGCGAAUGAAACAACCUCCUCGUGCAUCCCACCAUCCCGAACUACCCGCCUAUUAUGACUUUGGCCACACACCCGUCACAAAGUAUCGGCGUGUUUUCGAUUCCGAAUCCCGUACCGUUUUCCCCCGUGACAAUACAAAAUCACGACCGCGCACCGUUAUUUUUUUGCCAGACGCAGCGCCGUACGUGAAAAAAGCUGGAAAAUCGUUAAAAGCG